UCUUCGUCUUUCUUUUUCU
rnacentral:sRNA from 1 species